rnacentral:rRNA from 1 species
CCUACGGGAGGCAGCAGUGAGGAAUAUUGGUCAAUGGGCGCAAGCCUGAACCAGCCAAGUAGCGUGAAGGAUGACUGCCCUAUGGGUUGUAAACUUCUUUUAUAUGGGAAUAAAGUGCAGUAUGUAAACUGCUUUGCAUGUACCGUAUGAAUAAGGAUCGGCUAACUCCGUGCCAGCAGCCGCGGUAAUACGGAGGUUCCGAGCGUUAUCCGGAUUUAUUGGGGUUAAAGGGAGCGUAGGCGGGUUGUUAAGUCAGUUGUGAAAGUUUGCGGCUCAACCGUAGAAUUGCAGUUGAUACUGGCGUCCUUGAGUACAGGAGAGGUAGGCGGAAUUCGUGGUGUAGCGGUGAAAUGCUUAGAUAUCACGAAGAACUCCGAUUGCGAAGGCAGCUUGCUGGACUGUAACUGACGCUGAUGCUCGAAAGUGUGGGUAUCAAACAGGAUUAGAUACCCGGGUAGUC